rnacentral:rRNA from 1 species
AGUGAACGCUGGCGGCAUGCCUAACACAUGCAAGUCGAACGGCAGCACAGUAAGAGCUUGCUUUUACGGGUGGCGAGUGGCGGACGGGUGAGGCAUACAUCGCAUUCUACUUUUUCGGGGGGGAUUACGUGGGGACACUUACGCUACUACCGCAUACGACCUACGGGUGAAAGCAGGAGAUAUUCGCACUUUUCGCGUUUCAAUGAGCCGAUGCCGGAUUAGCUAGUUGGCGGGGUAAAGGCCCACCAAGGCGACGAUCCGUAGCUGGUCUGAGAGGAUGAUCAGCCACACUGGAACUGAGACACGGUCCAGACUCCUACGGGAGGCAGCAGUGGGGAAUAUUGGACAAUGGGCGAAAGCCUGAUCCAGCCAUACCGCGUGAGUGAAGAAGGCCUUCGGAUUGUAAAGCCCUUUUGUUAGGAAAGAAAAGCAGCAGGAUAAUACACCCCUGUUCUGACGGUACCCAAAGAGAAAGCACCGGCUAACUUCGUG